AACUUUCAACAACGGAUCUCUUGGUUCUGGCAUCGAUGAAGAACGCAGCGAAAUGCGAUACGUAAUGCGAAUUGCAGAAUUUAGUGAGCCAUCGAAUCUUUGAACGCACAUUGCGCCCGCCAGCAUUCUGGCGGGCAUGCCUAUCCGAGCGUCAU
rnacentral:rRNA from 1 species